GGUGGAGCAUGUUUGUUUAAUUGGAAGAUACGCGGACAACCUUACGUACUCUGGACAUCCCGAUCGCGAAUUUCAGAGAUGAUUUUGUUCAGUUUGGCUGGAUCGUUGACAGAUGCUGCAUGGUUGUCGUCAGCUCGUGUCGUGAGAUGUUGGGUUAAGUCCCGCGACGAGCGCAACCCUUACUGUUAGUUACCAUCAGGUUAUGCUGGGAACUCUAGCAGAACUGCCGGUGAUAAGCCGGAGGAAGGUGGGGAUGACGUCAAAUCAGCAUGGUUCUUACGAGUAGGGCCACAAACGUGCUACAAUGGUAACUACAAAAAGCGGCAAACUUGCAAGAGUGAGCUAAUCUUUCUAAAAGUUAUCUCAGUUCGAAUUGUCCUCUGCAACUCGAGGGCAUGAAGUUGGAAUCGCUAGUAAUCGCAGGUCAGCAUACUGCGGUGAUACGUUCCCGGGUCUUGUACACACCGCCCGUCAUCUCAUGGAAGUUGAUUUUACCCUAAGUCUG
rnacentral:rRNA from 1 species